CGCUCCAUCGGUUUUUGCGAGAUCGUUGCACCAUCGAAAAGAUUCUGACGUUGGAGUGCAAGAGGUGGCGAGAAUCGAUGCUGUAUAGUACGACGGCUUGACUAUUGGUGUUCAUUAUCGGUGUUCAUUAGUAGUCGUAGAAUUUCUAGUUUGGCUUUUGGUUCGUUAGAACGCUGCCAAUCGAUUUUUGCGAGAUCGUUACACCAUCGAGAAGAUUUUGAUGUUGGAGCCUAAGAAGCGAGCUAUCGAUGCUGUAUGGUAUGGCUUGACUAUCGAUGUUUAUUAUUAUCGUUACGUUCAUUGGUAUUCGUAGAACUUUCAAGUUAAUUUUGGUUAAUUAGAACACGGUGCAUCAGUUUCCGCGAGAUCGUUGUACGCAGGCACAAGCUAAAUUUCAAUGAUGCUCUAAAACGUGUCAUUGGCCUCCCACGUUGUCAAAACAUCGUGUAGAUAUGUUUCUACUUGGGGGUAAACAUACUCGUUAAGAAACUCGAACCAGUAAUGAACAAUGCGAGUAUUCGGAGAAUCGUAAAACUAUCAAAGUGAUAAUUGACAAAAUAGAUAAACAAUACAAAUUUUACCAUCACCUUGAAGAAUACCAUCUAUCGAGAAGUUCGAAUAACGAAAAGCAAUUGAUGGUCGUGAAAACCCAAUGGACUAUCGAUAGUGUAAUAUACUUAUCGGUAUGUCAAACAACAUUGACACAAUUUCUUUUAUAUCUCCUAACGAAAACAAGCUGAUAUACAGCGUAGAAAAUACUUGCGCUUUUACAACAAUAAUAAUUUACUCGUCUAGCAAUGAAUUUAUUUAUUUCCAGUCUUGUAAUUUUGUUUACGAUAAAUGAAUAAAUAUUAAAAAUAGAAGGCUGUGAUUUGUACCGCGUAGAAGAGGAAUUAGCGUGUCUUUGCUGGUAGAAUAUCACGAUAAAAUUGCUUUUUAAGGGCUAACACGUGAUAAAAAAAAAAUUCACAUUUGCAUUUAUUGAACCAUGUGGGUCUAUUUUUUUUUUGUUUUCUUUUUGUUUGAGAAGUACUUUAUCUUCAGGUUGUUUGAUUCAUAAAUUAUGAGUCAGACAGGGAAGGUUGUUCUAAUCUGACAGAAAAAAUAUUGGCAUAUUCAAGCAGUGAUAUCUAAAUCUGGUGAAUACAUCCACACGUCGUAUAUUAUUCCUAAUACUACUAAUCGUAACUUGUAUAUCAUUGAAAAUAUCUUUCUGAUCACAGAUGAUUCUCGUAAUAUAAUGACCAGAUGCCGGACACCGUCAUAGGAAACAGUUCACCAAUUGCUCAUCGGCCAGAUACUUCUUCCAUAAGCAAACAAAAAUCGGCUAUACUGUAUCUCAAAAAUCGUCAUACGAUAUCAAAGAACAACUUUAUGGAAAGUAUUUGAUCGUUGUACAUCGACUGAUUAUUAAUAGACUGCGGCUCUUUAUAUAAUUGUCUUUUGAAACCCACGUAAAGAAAUAUUUUCCUAUUUUUUAUAUACAAUUUCCCUUCCUAUUUUUUAUAUACAAUUGUGCAUUCUCUGUAUUUUAAUAUUCACCUGCUAUUCAUUGCUAUCGAUUAUUAAUCAUAAGCCUCCUGCGUCGAUAAAUCAAGAAACAAACAUAACAUUUUUCAAAUUCUUGUUAAAAUGUGAAUUGCACGUUAAUCGAAAGCUUCUUUCAUAGUCGAAGUAUACUAUUCGUAAAAAAAAAUCGUCGAAUUCUAAAUUCUAAACAUCGGACCAGCGAAGUACGUUGGUCAGUGGAAGAGUUCGCGAACUAUUAAUAAAGCCUGGGCCUUUUGUCUUCAAGGUCGCGGAUUCGAUGAUAUCGAUGUCGCGGGUUUCCUACAAAAUAGUGGUAUAAAUACGCGUCGCGUUAGAAAAUAACGGCGCAGUUCAUGCUCGAUUCUCGCCCACCAGUUCGCGUUUCACGCGGAACUUUCCUGGCAUCAACGGAAACCGUUUCUGCCUGCGUGCAUCAUCGGCCGUUUCCGGGAGAGAGGAAAAUAAAAAAAAGCGAUGAUUUAGAGCCAGCGUGGUGGAAUUAGCGCGAAAAUAUCGCGUAAACGUUGGUUUAACGACAAAGAAGAGCAACGUUUAUGACAGCAUUCAAUACACGAACAAUAUGUCUCUGUCUCGUUCAGUGACUGUUGUUUGAUAAAUGUUCAAAACCAGUUUUAAAAACAUCUAUCCGCCACAGAAUCACCGCUAGCAAAUAUAUAUUUAGUCAGUGAAAUAUUUUGAACAAAUUCCACAUCAUAGACACGACUGUGUUACAACGAAGAAAAGGCUUAGAAACGAUUCUGUAACGUACAUUCUGAGAAUGAGAAUAUUUUUUUGACAAGAUUUCUACUCCUCUUUAAGCUUCCAUGGCCGAAUCUCGAGCUUCGAUGUUUAUCUGCUUGAUAACAGGGUUGAUAAGGAACUUGUUUUCCCAUUGAGAAAUAUAUUUGAUUUCGCGUGAUUAAAAAUUGAUAUUGAAUAAGUAUAGCGUACAGUUAUUCGACUGAUUUUGCUAAAUUUUGUAUUACUUGUUCGACACAAUCGAUUAUGCGUCCUUUGUGUCCUAUAGAGUUGUAUAUCGAAUCAACGACGUGAAGUUCAUGGCUCUAUACUACUUGUCUGACAGAGCCACUGACUCACAGCGACCUAUACUACUUAUUCGAUACAAACGAUGACGCACUGUAUGCGUCCUAUGAAACUUAGCGAUCACAAGACAUAAUGUUUAUGGCCUAAUACUACUUGUCUGAUACAGCCAUUGACGUACAACGUGCAAGCUAUACUAUUUGUUCGAUACAAACGAUGACGCACCCUAUGCGUCUUAUGAAAUUUAGUAAUCACGGGACACAAUGUUUAUGGCCCUGUGUUACUUGUCUGAUACAGCCACUGACGCACAGCGUGCGACCUACAUACUUGUUCGACACGAACGAUGACACAUUCUAUGCGUUCUAUAAAACUUGUAUAAUCGUAAGACGCAUUGUUUACGAUUCUAUACUAUUUGUCCAACACGACUACUGACGCACAGCGUGCGACCUAUGCUUCUUAAACGAUACAAACAGUGCAUAGUUAUUAAUCGUGCCAAUGAGAGAAAAUAAAUUUGAACAAAUGGAUACAAGUCAAGAAGUGAACGAAUUAUUGCGACAUACAACCUCACAUGUACUCUAGACAGAAUUCCAAUCUAAAAAUUGGUAAUUCUGUUUUAUAUUUUAAAUACCAUUUAGUAAUGUUCGUGAUAGGCAUACGAUGUAAAUUACAAUUAUAAAUACCCUGAAAUUAACCAAAACUAUCAUAUAACGAUCACUUGUGAACGAAAAAGAGUUAUCCGAUGAAUCUGGGAUCAAAUCCCUAAAGCAACUAGGAAGUGGAAAGAACAAAGGCCGCGAAGAAAGAAGAUGAACCGACCAUACCACUGCGAUCUCCAACUGUAUUUCUCCGCUCGACGUUCGCACGCGUGUUUAUCGUGGUCGUGCGUACGAGCCUGCCAAAUAUAACCAAGAAGCGUGAAACGCGUGCGCCACGAUCGCAUCGUAAGAGCAGAGGCGAGCUAGAAAGCUCGCGGCGGGCUAGUCGUCAGCCGGCUCGUUUAAAUGUUAACGCGAGUGGCUGGUUAACUAGCGCUUUACUCGCUUGCUCUUUGGCUGUUUCAUUGGCCCGUUCCAUGUCACCGUUGCUGCUGUCGCGCUAUGGCAGAGGGCCAACCGAAACAAGUACACGCGUAGGCGAAUCGCGUGUUAGGCUAAGUUCUGGCUUAGAGGUCUGUCGAACGAGACGCGCAAGAGACAACACGGAUAUCCUUGCUUUUCAUAGAUACCGAUAGUGGAGACACGCAGGAGGAGCGAGUUGUAUACGCGGGGGAUGAUUCGCCAGAUCUACGUUCGAGCGAAUGCAAUGUGGAAAAUUCGCGAGAAGAUAAUGGACUAACCGCAAAAAUCAAGGCGUGUGUAGGUAUACACCAUGUGUAGACAUCCUAUGUUCAUAUAUCUAUAUUCAUUAUAUCGUGUAUUGCAUUGUGUGCGCGUAUGACCACGUGUAGAUUUUUGUUAACUAUUCACGAACAGAAACCUUGUAUGACGCACAUCUGUAAAUAAAAGUCUGUAUAUGCCUCGUAGAAUUUUAUGAACAGUCUGUAGACAUUCAGAAACUUGAUGCGAUGUACAUCUGCGGACAAAAAUUUGUAUGCGUCUUUGCAUAGGAUUUUAUGAAUAGUCUGCAGAUAUAUAGAAAUUUAUAUUCACGUUUUGUAGAAUUGGUGUAUUUAAAUAAAAAGAUAAAGAUAUGUACACAAGUAUAACUUUAUAUAGUUUACACAAAAUUCACAUAUUUGUAAAUGUUUGUAUUGGCAUUGUUUACAGGUAUGCGUUCGUGCAUAAGGAUUCUGAUAUCUACAGGCAGCCUACAUGAAUUUCUAAAACAUGCACACGCAAUAUAUUAUAAUAUGCAGCACACGAUAUAAUAGUUCACGCGCAAUACUAUUUGCAAGUCUGUACACAUCUUGGUAACUGAACUUCCCAUCCCUUGCGUGUACGACAUUUACAAAAGAAGAAGAAAAAUUAGGACAAAUUACUCAUACUUUGGAACUUUUUGCUCCCGUUAAUUGCAGACUGCAGCGGAUGUGAUUAUUUAAAAUCAUUAUAGUUCUUUUUUUAGUACAACCUUUGUUAAACAUACAUAUAUAUGUUCUUCAUCUUUAAACACCUAGAUUCAACGAAUAUAUGAAACAGAUAUCCUUGAACCACCAUGUCUUCAAACCAUUAAUCUUUGAAUAAAAAGAAUAUUUUACCACCCAAAAAAUAAAGGAUAUUUAAAGUAUACUUAUGUCGGUAUAAACAAUCUCUAAAAUAUAAAUACAUACCAAUAAACAUCCUCAAAUUACAUUAUAUUAGUUAUCUAUCUAUUAUUAUAUUAGCUAUAUAUUAUAUUAUAUUAGCUAUCAAGUAUCUUUUUAAUCGAAAGAGUACCACAGUACCUGCUAUUGAGCGUGAUACUGUAGGAAAUGAGUGUUAGGGUAAAUAAGACCGCGGGGAAUGGUCGACAAUAAUCGAGACCGAUUUCUCUAAACAUCUAUCCGAGUUUUGUCCCCGUAAUAGUCUACGAUAUUAUCAGACGCGUGGAAAUGUGAUCUCAAAUAGUAUAUAACAAAAUGAAAUCUAAAGAUACAUCGGGCAGAAUAUAACGACGUCCGCGUCGGUUGUCGGCGCCAUUCGACUCACCUGACUUCUAGAAGAUGGUGAACGAUGCCUGUGUCGAUCCUGGCUAGUCGACGACGAGGCAUGGUGACGAUAGAUCCUUGCACGUCGAGAUGAAGUGGGAUGCGCCAAACGGUCACGAUCGCGAUCACGAUGUCCGCCGUGCUGGCGACCGCUACUCGGUGAUCGACGAUGACUUCGCUUGUACCGUCUUUCCUGGCUAGUUCCGCGGUCGUGCUGACGAGACCUCAGCACGCGCUCUCCACUGAAAUUGCCACUAAUUAGUCUUAGGUUUAUCACAGCCUCUGAAUUAGGCGUUCGUGUGAAUCUGUUCACUGCGAGAUAUUGGUCGUGAAUGGAAUAUCGACAGAAUAGAGAAAUUAAUGGAAUGGAUGGUGAUGCAGGAAAAUUGUAUGGCAAUUGAUGAUAAUGGAUGGUUCGGUGAUUUUUAAUAGAGAAAAUUUG